rnacentral:rRNA from 1 species
AUUGAACGCUGGCGGCAGGCUUAACACAUGCAAGUCGAGCGGGGGAAGGUAGCUUGCUACCGGACCUAGCGGCGGACGGGUGAGUAAUGCUUAGGAAUCUGCCUAUUAGUGGGGGACAACAUCUCGAAAGGGAUGCUAAUACCGCAUACGUCCUACGGGAGAAAGCAGGGGAUCUUCGGACCUUGCGCUAAUAGAUGAGCCUAAGUCGGAUUAGCUAGUUGGUGGGGUAAAGGCCUACCAAGGCGACGAUCUGUAGCGGGUCUGAGAGGAUGAUCCGCCACACUGGGACUGAGACACGGCCCAGACUCCUACGGGAGGCAGCAGUGGGGAAUAUUGGACAAUGGGGGGAACCCUGAUCCAGCCAUGCCGCGUGUGUGAAAAAGGCCUUAUGGUUGUAAAGCACUUUAGGCGAGGAGGAGGCUACUCUAGUUAAUACCUAGGGAUAGUGGACGUUACUCGCAGAAUAAGCACCGGCUAACUCUGUGCCAGCAGCCGCCGCAG